rnacentral:rRNA from 1 species
UACGUAGGUGGCAAGCGUUGUCCGGAUUUAUUGGGUUUAAAGGGUGCGUAGGCGGCCCUGUAAGUCAGUGCUGAAAUAUCCCAGCUUAACUGGGAGGGUGGCAUUGAUACUGCGGGGCUAGAGUACAGAUGAGGUAGGCGGAAUUCCCGGUGUAGUGGUGAAAUGCGUAGAUAUCGGGAGGAAUACCAGUGGCGAAGGCGGCUGCCUGGCCUGUUCUUGACGCUGAGGCGCGAAAGCUGGGGGAGCAAACGGG